GGCAGUCAAUAACUAAACCAGCCUAAUACACAGUCCUUUAAUCAUGACAGUUCAAAAUCAGAAAUACAAAUUUUGGCAUCCUCCCAAUCAUAAGAGAAAUAGCAACUAACUCGAAGAUUGGACCCAUUAUCAGACAGUUCCAUCCUAUCUGUAGUGGGUGCUUCUUGAUAGAAUUUAAUAUAUGAACAUAUUAUAGUUCUAAAAUCAAUACCUA
rnacentral:lncRNA from 1 species